UUUUAUGAGAGUUUGAUCCUGGCUCAGGACGAACGCUGGCGGCGUGCCUAAUACAUGCAAGUCGAACGCUUCUUUUUCCACCGGAGCUUGCUCCACCGGAAAAAGAGGAGUGGCGAACGGGUGAGUAACACGUGGGUAACCUGCCCAUCAGAAGGGGAUAACACUUGGAAACAGGUGCUAAUACCGUAUAACAAUCAAAACCGCAUGGUUUUGAUUUGAAAGGCGCUUUCGGGUGUCGCUGAUGGAUGGACCCGCGGUGCAUUAGCUAGUUGGUGAGGUAACGGCUCACCAAGGCCACGAUGCAUAGCCGACCUGAGAGGGUGAUCGGCCACAUUGGGACUGAGACACGGCCCAAACUCCUACGGGAGGCAGCAGUAGGGAAUCUUCGGCAAUGGACGAAAGUCUGACCGAGCAACGCCGCGUGAGUGAAGAAGGUUUUCGGAUCGUAAAACUCUGUUGUUAGAGAAGAACAAGGAUGAGAGUAACUGUUCAUCCCUUGACGGUAUCUAACCAGAAAGCCACGGCUAACUACGUGCCAGCAGCCGCGGUAAUACGUAGGUGGCAAGCGUUGUCCGGAUUUAUUGGGCGUAAAGCGAGCGCAGGCGGUUUCUUAAGUCUGAUGUGAAAGCCCCCGGCUCAACCGGGGAGGGUCAUUGGAAACUGGGAGACUUGAGUGCAGAAGAGGAGAGUGGAAUUCCAUGUGUAGCGGUGAAAUGCGUAGAUAUAUGGAGGAACACCAGUGGCGAAGGCGGCUCUCUGGUCUGUAACUGACGCUGAGGCUCGAAAGCGUGGGGAGCAAACAGGAUUAGAUACCCUGGUAGUCCACGCCGUAAACGAUGAGUGCUAAGUGUUGGAGGGUUUCCGCCCUUCAGUGCUGCAGCUAACGCAUUAAGCACUCCGCCUGGGGAGUACGACCGCAAGGUUGAAACUCAAAGGAAUUGACGGGGGCCCGCACAAGCGGUGGAGCAUGUGGUUUAAUUCGAAGCAACGCGAAGAACCUUACCAGGUCUUGACAUCCUUUGACCACUCUAGAGAUAGAGCUUCCCCUUCGGGGGCAAAGUGACAGGUGGUGCAUGGUUGUCGUCAGCUCGUGUCGUGAGAUGUUGGGUUAAGUCCCGCAACGAGCGCAACCCUUAUUGUUAGUUGCCAUCAUUCAGUUGGGCACUCUAGCAAGACUGCCGGUGACAAACCGGAGGAAGGUGGGGAUGACGUCAAAUCAUCAUGCCCCU
rnacentral:rRNA from 1 species